AGUACAAAGAGUUUCUUCAGAGGCACAGAAAGUUACAGAGGAUGGAGAACAAGAACAGAUCCCUGAGUUGCCAGAUCCAAGCUUAGAAAUGGGCAUUUUGCCCAGAGAGAUCCGGAAACUGGUAGAACGGAGAAAACAAGUCAAACAGCUAAUGAAACAGCAAGACUUAAAUCCAGACCUUAUUCUUCAGUAUGACAUUCGACAGAAGGCUUUGAAGCUCACAGCGAACAGUAUGUAUGGUUGCCUGGGAUUUUCCUAUAGCAGAUUUUACGCCAAACCACUGGCUGCCUUGGUGACAUACAAAGGAAGGGAGUUUUGCCAUCUGGUAAUGAAUGGUUGAAGUAAUAAACUCCUGGCACCACCGCAUUUUGCUGUUGAUACUAGUGUGUGUCUCUAGCUUGUGGGACAGAAGCACUAAGUGAGGUCCAUGCUGUACAGUGAGAAGCUGAAAGAGUUGCUGCUCUGUGUGCCAGAUUUUGAUGCAUACGAAAGAGAUGGUACAAAAGAUGAAUCUUGAAGUUAUUUAUGGAGAUACAGAUUCAAUUAUGAUAAACACCAAUAGCACCAAUCUGGAAGAAGU
rnacentral:sRNA from 1 species